rnacentral:misc_RNA from 1 species
AAGAACGGUCAUGUUGAAAUUAUAGCAAAUGACCAAGGAAACCGUAUUACCCCAUCAUGGGUUGCUUUCACUGACAGUGAGAGGCUUAUCGGUGAGGCUGCAAAGAACCAGGCAGCUGUCAAUCCCGAAAGGACCAUCUUUGACGUCAAGAGACUUAUUGGAAGAAAGUUUGAAGACAAGGAGGUCCAGAGGGACAUGAAGCUGGUUCCAUAUAAGAUUGUGAA